rnacentral:rRNA from 1 species
GAUGAACGCUGGCGGCGUGCUUAACACAUGCAAGUCGAACGGAAAGGCUCCUGCUUGCAGGGGUACUCGAGUGGCGAACGGGUGAGUAACACGUGGGUGAUCUGCCCUGCACUUCGGGAUAAGCCUGGGAAACUGGGUCUAAUACCGGAUAGGACGAUGGUUUGGAUGCCAUUGUGGAAAGUUUUUUCGGUGUGGGAUGAGCUCGCGGCCUAUCAGCUUGUUGGUGGGGUAAUGGCCUACCAAGGCGUCGACGGGUAGCCGGCCUGAGAGGGUGUACGGCCACAUUGGGACUGAGAUACGGCACAGACUCCUACGGGAGGCAGCAGUGGGGAAUAUUGCACAAUGGGCGCAAGCCUGAUGCAGCGACGCCGCGUGGGGGAUGACGGCCUUCGGGUUGUAAACUCCUUUCGCUAGGGACGAAGCGAAAGUGACGGUACCUGGAGAAGAAGCACCGGCUAACUACGUG